rnacentral:tRNA from 4 species
UGGGGGAUCGUCUAAUGGCAGGACAGCGGACUCUGACUCCGCCAGUCUAGGUUCGAAUCCUAGUCCCCCAGCCA